rnacentral:antisense_RNA from 1 species
UUUUUUGCACCACCAGAAGCUUUCGCUAGUUGUUCGUAAUUUUUGGU